rnacentral:rRNA from 1 species
ACCGGGCGGAGUUAGGCCAGACUGGCAGCCUGGAGUACGGGAGAGGGGCGUGGAAUUCCGGGUGUAGUGGUGAAAUGCGUAGAGAUCCGGAGGAACCCCAGCGGCGAAGGCGGCGCCCUGGCCCGUAACUGACGCUCAGACACGACAGCAUGGGGAGCGAACGGGAUUAGAAACCCCGGUAGUCCAUGCCGUAAACGAUGCCAACUAGGCGUCGGCGGUCUCAACCCCGUCGGUGCCGGAGCUAACGCGGGAAGUUGGCCGCCUGGGGAGUACGACCGCAAGGUUAAAACUCAAAGGAAUUGACGGGGGCCCGCACAAGCAGCGGAGCGUGUGGUUUAAUUCGAGGCUACACGAAGAACCUUACCUGGCGUUGACAUGAGGCUAGUAGGGGAGCGAAAGCCGACCGACC